rnacentral:lncRNA from 1 species
CGUGCCUAAUCUUUCUUGCAGUUCAUUUAUCUAUAAAAUAGAUUUUUAUACAAUUCAUUUAAUAUUAAGAAAUACUAAAAAACUUAUAGGAAGUGUUUCAGAAGUUAACUCUUUCCCUUUUAAGGUGCAAGCAAGGUGGCUUCAUGAGAAGAGGUGAGAUGCUCCUUAACGUGCAAGUAAUGGGCCCUUUUGGGUACGAUGAGAUCCUUCCUUGAUGGUUGGCAAAGUGGCUUCUGAUGUGUGAGUGAAGAGCCUCUCUCAAUGUGCUACUAGAUGAGUUGCUGCUAUCCAUCAAUCGAGUUUCAA